UACGUAGGGGGCAAGCGUUGUCCGGAAUCAUUGGGCGUAAAGAGCGUGUAGGCGGCUCGGUAAGUCCGCUCUGAAAGCCCGGGGGCUCAACCCCGGGAGGCGGGCGGAUACUGUCGGGCUAGAGUCCGGAAGAGGCGAGUGGAAUUCCUGGUGUAGCGGUGAGAUGCGCAGAUAUCAGGAGGAACACCAAUGGCGAAGGCAGCUCGCUGGGACGGUACUGACGCUGAGACGCGAAAGCGUGGGGAGCAAACAGG
rnacentral:rRNA from 1 species